rnacentral:rRNA from 1 species
UACGUAGGGGUGCAAGCGUUUAAUCGGAAUUACUGGGCGUAAAGCGUGCGCAGGCGGCUUUGCAAGACAGAUGUGAAAUCCCCGGGCUUAACCUGGGAACUGCAUUUGUGACUGCAUGGCUGGAGUGCGGCAGAGGGGGAUGGAAUUCCGCGUGUAGCAGUGAAAUGCGUAGAUAUCGGAAGGAACACCAGUGGCGAAGGCGGUGGUCUGGGCCGGAACUGACGCUGAGGAGCGAAAGCGUGGGGAGCGAACAGG